AACGAACGCUGGCGGCAUGCCUAACACAUGCAAGUCGAACGAGACCUUCGGGUCUAUUGGCGCACGGGUGCGUACCGCGUGGGAACCUGCCUUUGGGUUCGGAAUACCUCAGAGAAAUUUGACCUAAUACAGGAUGAUGUCUUCGGACCAAAGAUUUCUCGCCUUUAGAUGGGCCCGCGUUGGAUUCGCCAGUUGGUGGGGUAAAGGCCUACCAUGGCGACGAUCCAUAGCUGGUCUGAGAGGAUGACCAGCCACACUUGGACUGAGACACGGACCAGCCUCGGACGGGAGGCAGCAGUGGGGAAUAUUGUACAAUGGGCGAAAGCCUGAUCCAGCAAUGCCGCGGGAGUGAUGAAGGCCUUAGGGAUGUAAAGCUCUUUUACCCGAGACGAUAAUGACAGUAUCGGGAGAAUAAGCACCGGCUAACUCCGUG
rnacentral:rRNA from 1 species